UUAAUGCUCAUUGAGCACUAUAAUGUGCCAGGCACUGGUGAAGCAUUGUAACUCAUUUAGUCCUUCUAACAAUCUUCGGAGGUUGGCACUAUUAUCAUUUGAUGGAUGAGGAAACAGAAGCAUGUGGGGUUAAAUUAAGUAGGGUUACACAGGUAAUGAGUGGUGGGGCUGGGACUCCAAUCCAGGCAAUAUGGCUCCAGAGUCCACUCCUGAGCCCUCGUGCUAGACUACUGCUGCUGCUUCACUGCAAACCAGAGAUUAGCUUCUGAAACAAAAGCAUGUGUCCAGCUGAAGAGGGGAGACUCGUAUGGCUGGCUUCCUUAACACCUACAAGAGGUUAGAGAGCAGAUGAUGAGGAACACUUAUCAAGUGAGAGAACCACAGGAGUGUUGUGAGGGGGUGGUGGGGAGAGGGAGACUGCACCAAAAGGUGAGGACAGCUGAUUUGCUAACCGUACAGCAAGACAACCAAAAGGUAAAGAAGUUCCAUCCAUAGGAUUUUCUCUUCCAUUACAGUCUGAAUAUCACCAACCUCCUUACUGCCAUAUAGAUGCCACUUGGGAAUGGCUGUCCCUGGCCAGAGAAGCUUCUAGGAGGAAAACCUAGUGACCAAGUGAGAACAAUUUCAAGUCUGUGGUGAUGUCGUCUUCUGAAGGUGUGGAACACCUGUGUGAGAAAACUCCAAGCAAAACAUAAACCCCAUUGGACUAGAGGGGAAAAAUGUAAGCCAUACAAUCCAUACACAUUUUUGUCUUUGCUCCGAGAUUCUGUAUGAUUGGGGACCAUCUAAAACUGCACAUCCACCCAGAACAAUAAUGUCAUCCACAAGAAAACAUGUCUUACGUUCUUCCCAGGACAGCCGAUUAAACAAAACACAGCACCUAGAGCAUUCUCAGCCCCCAAAUGACAUCCUCCUCCAGCAGGUCAGCCACUGUUUAACCAUCUCACCCCCUUCAGGUGGCUUUUCUUAAUCCACAGAAUAUGGCUGAUGAUCUUUGUCUCUCUUGACCUCCUCCUCCUCCAUCAUUGUGCCACUGUCUAUAUAUCAUAGGCUUAAGCUAACCAUGUGUUGGUAAGAGAUCUGCUUGUCUUGGUGUCUACAGGACCGGGAUAUUGCCCUCAAUCUUAGGCAUCAGGCUCUCAUAAAAUCUUGCUUAGCACAAGUGCAAACACCAGGAUGGUGGCUCCCAGGACCCUUCUUUGCACCCAAGGAGAGUUUUGCUCCCAUGCCUCCCAAGUUCCAAAGCUAACUAGCAAUGGUAUUCCAGAUGCUUGACUUGACUUCUCAGAUGCUUGACUUCUCAGAUGCCAGGCCACUAUCCUCAGUUCCAAAAUGUCAAGUUAGCCAUUCAGAGUCAGGGAUAUUUGAAUAGUAUUUAUAAACAAGUAAUUAAGUAUUAGUUAUAAGGCAAAUCAAAGAUUUCUGCCCAAGAACUGCCACCUUUGGUUAACCUAUACCUUUGAAAUCACUUUGCCCAUUAAGGUUUUUCAAGUUCUCAAUGAAAAUUUAUUCAAAAGCCAAAACAGAAUUUGGUUUUGGUGCUUGCCGGUUCUGAAAUGAUUCUUUAGUUCUCCAGGUGAUGGCUCCAUUAAUUAUUUAUGCCUUGUCUGGGCGGGCAGAGGUCAUGUCAGGAUGGGGCUCAGUAGCGCUGGUAAACACUUUACUCGUUCUCAAAUAUCUAGAAACUUAUAGCUGUGCUAGUACAGAUCAUAACACAGAUCAUGUUUUUAUCAGUGGACGUACAUUUACUGAGGCCCAUUCUGAGUAGUAGAACUAGAACUGUGAAAAAGACACAAUCUGGACCCUUUAACAUUCUUAAAGAGUGUUGCCCACACUUCUGGACCUCACACACUAGUAUAAUAGCCAGAAAAGUUACUGGAAGGCCAAUAUUUUUAUUUUGCCAAUAUAAGGACACUGAAAAUAACCACAAUCUUCUUUCCUCAUCAUUGCAUAAAAGAAAGGAUAUUUU